GGUGGGGAGGAGGGGGCGGGGGCAGCGGCCUGGUUGCCAUGGCAACAAGGCACGCCCCGAGGAACGACUCCCAGGGCUGGCGUGAUGACGUAUAGCAGGAGAGGCGGGGUUUGAAAACACCCUCUUUUCCUUGAGACCCUCCGGCAACUGUCUGCGAGUUACCUUGAACCCUCUCUCUCCCUGGUUGGUGCUUUUGGAUUUGGAAAUGGAAAAUUGGAUAUAGGGAAGAGGAAUAUUGGAAGGAAUAAAAGAAUCCGGGGCUGCAAAAAGGAACUCUUUUGUUUUUGUUUGUAUGUUGUCUCUCCCAUAGAUGAUUCAGGGAUUCCUCCAGUGAAUCUGAAUCUUCUCCAGUGCUGUGAGGAAAGGUCUAGGAACAGACCAUACACACAGAAAGAAUGGAAGUUGGAGGUAACACUUAAUGUAAAUAACUCACUGGAUUGUGAAGACAGGAUUAACUCUCCUUUGCCUUUUGAUUGAAUCAACAUAAGCUUGAAAGAUUGUUCAUUUAAGUGCUUACUAGAGAGGGAAGAAGCUUUCCCCUACAUCUAUGAAGACUCAAGACAUGAUCCUCCCAGCAAUGAACCUUGGUGGAGGCAAAAUGAACCAACCAUUCUUUGAAGUUCCUCAGAGAAUCCAUUUCCUGGGACAAAGUUUGAGAUGGGGCACCUGAAAAGGACCUUGUUCUGGGCUGGAACCAGUUUAGACUGGUCCCCUGGGAGGUUAUGUUCAAUGUUUGAAUAAAAAGAAAAGCUCACAACUCAUUCAAAAAAUAACACGAGUAAAUUUGCUAAGGCAUAGCAGGAGAAGGAUAUGUAUGCACUGAAGGCUCCCAGAGUCAAUUCAACUGAUUAAAACACCUUUGUGCCAGCC